rnacentral:rRNA from 1 species
CACGUAGGGCGCAAGCGUUGUCCGGAAUUAUUGGGCGUAAAGAGCUCGUAGGCGGUCUGUUGCGUCCGCUGUGAAAACCCGGGGCUUAACCCUGGGCUGGCAGUGGAUACGGACAGACUAGAGGUAGGUAGGGGAGAAUGGAAUUCCCGGUGUAGCGGUGAAAUGCGCAGAUAUCGGGAGGAACACCGGUGGCGAAGGCGGCUCACUGGCCCGGUACUGACGCUGAGGUGCGAAAGCGUGGGGAGCAAACAGG